rnacentral:rRNA from 1 species
UACGUAGGGUGCGAGCGUUGUCCGGAAUUACUGGGCGUAAAGCGUGCGUAGGCGGUUCGUUAAGUUCGUUGUGAAAGCCCCGGGCUCAACCUGGGAAUGGCAAUGGAAACUGGCGGGCUGGAGUAUGGCAGAGGGGGGUGGAAUUCCGCGUGUAGCAGUGAAAUGCGUAGAGAUGCGGAGGAACACCGAUGGCGAAGGCAGCCCCCUGGGCCAAUACUGACGCUCAGGCACGAAAGCGUGGGGAGCAAACAGG